CUUUACUGGAUCAGUUUGACACCCCUGCUGAUGAGUUUCAUGGUGCCUGCGCAGCACACACACCAAGACUAAUCUAAAAGCAGGUCAUUAACCUGAGGACAAGAGUGGAAAAAGAAGAAUUCAUGCAAAUGCAGAACACAGGACUUAUACAGUUUUUCGGCUGAUGGUCUCACCUGAUUACCAAGGAACUCAUCCAGGUUUCGCAGCUCUCUGGGGUCGGUGAUCUCACGGUCCAGAGAUGAGUUCCACUCUAACACCCGUGUGGCCCGGCUGAUUCGAAUGGUCGGGUUUCGACUGGCCCUCCCACUCCUCUGGCUUGGCUUGUGGUAGUGCAAUCUUAUCAGACAGACCCGGAACCAGCGCUGCAGGAUGAUGAUGUGACGCAUCACUUCUUUGUUGAGAGUGUCUUGGAGCAGCUGCCUCUCCCUCUCCUUGAGGAACACCUGAGUAGAUGAAAGAGAG